AGAUGUUGGGUUAAGUCCCGCAACGAGCGCAACCCUUGUCAUUAGUUGCCAUCAUUUAGUUGGGCACUCUAAUGAGACUGCCGGUGACAAACCGGAGGAAGGUGGGGAUGACGUCAAGUCCUCAUGGCCCUUAUGACCAGGGCUUCACACGUCAUACAAUGGUCGGUACAGAGGGUAGCCAAGCCGCGAGGUGGAGCCAAUCCCAGAAAACCGAUCGUAGUCCGGAUUGCACUCUGCAACUCGAGUGCAUGAAGUCGGAAUCGCUAGUAAUCGCAGGUCAGCAUACUGCGGUGAAUACGUUCCCGGGUCUUGUACACACCGCCCGUCACACCAUGGGAGUGGGGGAUACCAGAAGUAGAUAGGGUAACCGCAAGGAGCCCGUUUACCACGGUAUGUUUCAUGACUGGGGUGAAGUCGUAACAAGGUAGCCGUAGGGGAACCUGCGGCUGGAUCACCUCCUUU
rnacentral:rRNA from 1 species